AGAAUCAACGCUGGCGGCGUGCCUAACACAUGCAAGUCGAACGAGAAAGUGGAGCAAUCCAUGAGUAAAGUGGCGCACGGGUGAGUAACACGUGACUAACCUACCUUUUAGUGGGGGAUAACCUAGGGAAACCUGGGCUAAUACCGCAUAAUACCUACGGGUCAAAGCAGCAAUGCGCUGGAAGAGGGGGUCGCGGCCGAUUAGCUAGUUGGCGGGGUAAUGGCCCACCAAGGCAGUGAUCGGUAUCCGGCCUGAGAGGGCGCACGGACACACUGGAACUGAAACACGGUCCAGACUCCUACGGGAGGCAGCAGUGGGAAUUUGCGCAAUGGGGGAAACCCUGACGCAGCAACGCCGCGUGGAGGAUGAAGACCCUUGGGUCGUAAACUCCUUUCGAUCGGGACGAUAAUGACGGUACCGGAAGAAGAAGCCCGGCUAACUUCGCGCCAGCAGCCGC
rnacentral:rRNA from 1 species